GACCAACUAGGACGGUCAUCAGUAUACGAACAAAGUUUCUAAUUCGGUACGUUCAGAUUCAUAUUCGAUUAAAUAUGCCGUUUUGACGCUUAUCGAGUAAUGUUGUCAAUAUUAGAUGUGCUGCUAGUAAUGGUUUACCUAUAGGUACCAUUAAGACCUCGAUUAUGUACGAUUUUGUGGGCUGAAAAGCCUUCCCACCGUAAGUAAUCACUGAGUCUUGGUUAGUGAAGCCACAAAGACCACUAGUAUUACUGCCUCGCCUAGCGUAAAUACGCUGUCAAGCAAGCUCAAAGACUGGAUAGUCGAGGGCAGCCAUCCCAUAACCGGAUGGCUCCGACACUGCCCAUUGCCCCUUAAUCCCAAGCUAAGGCCUCUCCCUCGGACUCUUUGCCGAUGGUGUAGAUUCCUACCGUCGUCCGCGCGUUUAAUGGGUUAGGGCUAUGCCCCUCCAUCACUGGUCUUUAUCGUUGAGUCCUGCAAAUCAAGACACUAACGUUACUCGCCUUUCGUUUUGACAAACACUCAUGGAUAACCUCCCGUUCAGACCACGGUCGUCGGCGCCAUUAAGGUCGAGGUUAUCGCAUAUAAUUUUAACGACGUCAAUUUCGCAGGCAUCAGCCUAAAGCAGAUAAGCUCUACCUACGUCAUCGAUGAGCAUCAAGUGAUCGCGAAAGAGAAAAUCCGAACCCACCCCGAAACCCCGUUGAGUAACAAGGUGGGACAAUGAAACUCGUUUAACCUCACGAGGUUGGUCCGAAAUCGAACUUGUCGAGUCGUACCUUAUUGCUCUAUCCUGAAACCAAGAAGAACAACCACAGUACUUGGUUUUCAUUACCAACUAUUCCUGUAUGCCCCCGUAAACAUGAACGACCUCUCUCCACUUUAAGAUUCUGGGUCGUUUCUGUUUGUUCACGCUUUCGUAAACGGGUCACACACGGACAACUAGUUCCUGCUUUCAACCCCCUAGCUUCUGCUAAUCUAUGGCAGCAUCAGGGUUGAUAUUUGAUACGGCUGACUCCUAGCCACCGGCAUUAGAAUGCUGAGGAAGCCGUGAGGUUCUCUUUAGAUUCAGAGACCCGGGACCCCCCUCAUACCAGCGUUCCGACUUUGAAUUUCCUUAACUGCCUUC
rnacentral:rRNA from 1 species